CACUAAUCCAAAUAUUUCCGUCUGCUUCGUUACCCGUUUGUAACAUUUCUGGUCUUUAGGUCAAGAUUAUUAGUUCGAGCAGCUCUAACCCUUGCUAAGCGUCUCCAUCCGAAUUUUAGGGUUCUUCCCAUUUGUCGAUCUCUGCCGUUGAGUAGACUGAUUUGCUUAAGUCGGCGUGAUAAUUUCGUCGGCGGUUCUCCGAUCAACCGCAAAAGAAAGCCGACGUCUAUUUCGUAUCGAUUGGAGUUCUUAUCACUGGCCAUCGGCUUCUGGCACCGUUACAGAAUCUGUCUACAUUCAAGCAUUGUCAUUAACACUCUCAUUAACACCAUCUUCCCACUCCUCGCAAGAUCUCUCAUUCAAUACAUCCCAUCCUUCUUUCCAUUGUGUGAUUCUACAAUUAUAAAUAUGGAUGUUCAUUGUUGAUUGAAGCUUAAAGUUCACUAAUAGAUCAUGUUCACGAUUCUUGCUGUUAAUACUUGGAGUUUCUCUUUUGAAUUCGACGGAACCAAAAAGGUGGUGGUGGCGGAAUGGUCGGUGUUGGUGGAACUACUUCCGCCGCCUCCGGCUACGCUUCUCCCAACGACGCCGUUGACUACUGCCUCAAGUCUCGCGGCUUCAACGCCUCUUCUCUCAGAUCGAGUUAUCGUUCUCUGCUUCCAAUUUACGAGACCGCGACUUGAUGUCAAAGCGCGAAGCAAUGGUUGUUGUGUAUACUAAAAAAGAAAGAGAUGGAACACUUUCUGAACUCUUUUCUGCAGUGAGGUUGUUUUGAAUUCUCUGAAUCCUAAAUGGAUUAAGAAGCUCACACUCUCUUAUAUGUUAGAGCUUGUCCAGACAUUGCUGGAGGAGGUAUAUUCCGAUUAUCUCAUUAUGUGCUGGGGGAGUUUCAUUUCAGAUGCUUAAGAUCGAUGAGCAGCAGUUUCUUGGCGAGGCAGCCUGUACAUUGUCCGAGAUGGAUUUUCAAUCUUAACCAACUAUAGAAACUCUUAAUGUUCAGUGUGAGUAUAUGGAUGUGAGGACUUGACAGAAACACAAGUAGAAGAGUAAAGUGCAACUAUUCAUGUGGAAGGAUGAAGAAUGUUUAAUCAUGUUUUGUUAUGUUCUUUACUUUUCCGUUUAACUGGGAGUUUUCCUGCGCCAUGCGCAGAAAU